AGGCUCCAACAAUUCAGCGUCACAACGGGGAAGAGUCUCCCAAUUAGCGCUGAUGCCAAAGCCUCUCCAUUGACAACCCCCUAUCCCGUCUUCCUGCACACAGCAAUGCCUCAGUGCAUCUGAGCCGUCCCCCCUCCAGUCUGCUCUGCGUUGCAUUGUCUGUGGCUCCAUCUGGAAUGUGGCGGCUGCACAGCUGAGGCUAACGCUCAGGGGUCAUCCCAUGUAUGGACUGCACUUUAUGUAGUUGAGAAAACAAUGCUGCUGCAGACAGAAAAGGAGCAGAUUCCAGCACAAAAAGGAUUUUUAAAUUAUGGGAUUUAAAUGAAAAAGAGAAUAGGAAAAAGGAAUAGCCUUUCACAUAACGGAG